UUCACAGUAGGGAAACCAUGACAAACCAACCUUUCAUUAAACAUGAAAGAAGAUGCAAGGACCUGCAAACAAAUCAGCCCCUCAAAAAGAGUCUCGACUAAAAAAUAGACUCCAACUCAAAAGAACAAAACUUAACAGAUAAUUACAAAACGAUUAUGAAAACUGAGGCCCAUGAAUAGGUAUUAAAUGUAAUAACCUCCUACACCUCUUCCUAGGAGACUUCUUCACCCCUCUAAAAAUCCUCCUUUUUUUUUGAUAUCCAUGUGUCCGAACCAGCUUGCGCGGACCUCGACUACAUUUGGUUGACAAGAAACUCGUAGGAUAUUAAAUCUUAGGUAGGUGGUCACCAUGGUUUGAACUCAUUCUCUUUAAGUCCUUUGCUAUUUACAUUGACCCUUAUUGACCACUUGGCAAUCCCAUGAUGGUUCACCCCUCUAACUACCAUUCAUCUUGAUCCAUACACCCCACAAAAUAGUAAAAGAGACGAGUCUGCGGAAAAACUAUGCCCUUCCCAGAAAAGGGAGGAAAUUGGAGAACUUCCUCUAACGUAAGAAUAGCAAUCCCUAUUACGAUCCCACAUGAUCCCAACAGCUGACAUAUAACGACUCCCGACUCCAUAAAACCUGAGCGAACGAACACUCCCAAAGAAUAUGAUUGAGAUCCUCCGACGUGCAUACACAAACAGCUCCAUUGUGAGCCUAACACCAAAGAGGAAUGCCUUUAAAGUCCGAAGGUGUUAACUCCCCAAAACUUGCCCAGCAAAAAUUUGACCUUCUUUGCAAUCUUAACCUUCCUAAGAGAGGAGAAAGAAGGGGGCUUCAGGAGGGGGCAAAGAGGCGCAUAAGAUUUGAGGGUUGGGGGCCAAAAACGAACACCUCUCCUCACUUCUCGUCGCUUUGUUCGAUAAAGGAUGAAGGAAGCUUAACAAAAAGAUAAAUUAGAACUCAAGGAAAGUAUAACAGAGAUCACCGAAUGCAACCUCUUAUUAAAAAGAUGAUAUAAAAGAGGGAACAAAGCACAAGGAGGCUUGUCUCCCACCCAAAAAUUCUCCAAGAAAAAUAAACAUGAAGUAACAGGCAAUUUUACAAAUUGUGAGAACAAGGGAAAAUUUGAAGUAAUAGGCAAUCCUGGAGCUUUUUGAAAAGCCUUUAGACCCAUAAGCUGAGGCCCACUCAAAAGGUGGGGCCCAUCCAGGAAGGUGGGGAUUAGAUUACACGUAAUUAUGUAAAUUAUUUGCUUUCAAUUAUAAUAUUUAUUUAUCUUUCGUGAACAAAUAUGCUUACAAAACAAACAUUCACCUCUAAAAUCCCAUUAACCUGCAAUACAAUACAAUACUACUUUUACUUUU